ensembl:lncRNA
UUUUUCUUAGCCUACAUUGGUAUUUAAUAGUUUUAAUGUGUUUUAUUUACUAGGGUCUGAACCAGAAAAGUUGCCUCAUUCUACAAAAAGACUGCAACGGCGGUGAUAAAAAGUCUGAGAGGGUCUGAACCAGGAAAGUUGCCUCAUUCUACAGAAAGACAGCAAAGGGUCUGAACCAGAAAAGUUGCCUCAUUCUACAAAGACUGCAAAGGUAACAAUUUUCUUUCUCUGUCUCUUUCUCUUUUUCUCUCUUUCUUUCUUUGAUUUUACCCUGAGCAUUUUAUCUUUGCUCUUUGCAAAGAGGAAAUCAUUUUAAAUGCUUUUUUUUUUUAACUUACACUGGUAUUUAAUAGUUUUAUUGUAUUUUUCUUAGCAACUUUUUUUAUUUUUUUUAGUUUUUACCAGGGGCUUACUAAACAGGCUCUGCCUUUGUCAAUUCUCUUUUUAAACCUAAUUUUUAAUGUUUUUUAAAUGCUUUUUUUUUUUUUAGUACCCCUUUAUAGUUUUUGGCCAGGGGCUAACUAAACAGGUUUUGCUUCAGUCAAUUCCCCUUUUAA